AAUGUAGCAAUACAUGGCGAACUGCUCAGUAACACGUGGACAACCUGCCCUUAGGUUGGGUAUAAACCCGGGAAACUGGGUAUAAUACCCGAUAGGUCUCGAUUGCUGGAAUGCAUCGAGAUUUAAAGCUCCGGCGCCUAAGGAUGGGUCUGCGGCCUAUCAGGUAGUAGUGGGUGUAGCGUACCUACUAGCCUACGACGGGUACGGGUUGUGAGAGCAAGAGCCCGGAGAUGGAUUCUGAGACACGAAUCCAGGCCCUACGGGGUGCAGCAGGCGCGAAAACUUUACAAUGCUGGCAACAGCGAUAAGGGAACCUCGAGUGCCAGGUUACAAAUCUGGCUGUCGAGAUGCCUAAAAAGCAUUUCAUAGCAAGGGCCGGGCAAGACCGGUGCCAGCCGCCGCGGUAACACCGGCGGCUCCGAGUGGUAACCGUUAUUAUUGGGUCUAAAGGGUCUGUAGCCGGCCGGAUAAGUCUCUUGAGAAAUCUGGCAGCUUAACUGUCAGGCUUUCAGGAGAUACUGUCUGGCUCGAGGCCGGGAGAGGUGAGAGGUACUUCAGGGGUAGGGGUGAAAUCUUGUAAUCCUUGAAGGACCACCAGUGGCGAAGGCGUCUCACCAGAACGGACCUGACGGCAAGGGACAAAAGCUAGGGGCACGAACCGGAUUAGAUACCCGGGUAGUCCUAGCCGUAAACGAUACUCGCUAGGUGUCGGCCACGGUGCGACCGUUGUCGGUGCCGUAGGGAAGCCGUGAAGCGAGCCACCUCGCCGAAGUACGGCCGCAAGGCUGAAACUUA
rnacentral:rRNA from 1 species